rnacentral:lncRNA from 1 species
GCAGGCACUAUACCGUCAUCAUCAACUCAUCAUCAUCAUCAUCAUCAUCAUGUACACUUACCAGGCACUACUCAAAGGGCUUUACAAGUAUAAGAAUGGGUCAUAUUGAUCAUGCACUGAAAUUAUGAGGCUCUCCUGACGACUCCACUAUCCUCUGUAAUCAGAUGGACGAAUCUCUAGUGUUAGGAAAAGAAAUUGUGGACAGGGAUUCUCAAAUCACACCACAGAGAAGACCAAACCAUCUGGUCCUCCUGUGUAACCUUGGGACAGAGACCACCAGUCCAGAACUGGAAGCUCACUCUUUUUAUGGAGAUGGGGGCAAUAUGUUAGCAUAUUUUGGAAUACAAAGCAGUGCAAAAAGAGCCCUCCCGGGAGGUGACAGAUCUGGCUUCAGCAUUGCCACCAAUUUGUUCUAUGGCCCUGAAUGGUAUGGGAUCUGUAAAAUGGAUGCAAGACCACGUGGCCUUACUACCGCUCCUGUACUCAGGACAGUUUCUGGCCCAAAGGAAGCCCGAUGGAUGCUCUGUGACCACCCAUUCUCAUUUCCAUAACGGAUCAAAGUCAGUAGUCUUCAGCACGGCUCUGGCCUUACAGUGUCUAGUCCUCUGUUAGUUUAAGUGCAGGGUUUUUGCUUCCACUUCAUUCAGGGAAAGAUAGGGUUUCAUGCAAGCCCUCCCCACCCCCGAUGGACCUUCACACUCUCGAGCAUGUGUUGUCAGGCCAUCUGUUCAGACACAGAGCUGUUGAUAGCUGGACAGGAACCAUGCUGUAACACUUCAGUUUCUUAUUUCAGAGUCUUUAUCAAAGCUUUGCACAUAGCAGUACUCAAUAAGCCUUUGAUAAUAAUUUUGAUUAUCAAAAGAGGUUUCAGAUUAGAUAGUCUAACAAAUAUUAAAAUGAGUGUUUGCUAAUAAGCCUCAACUCCUCUCAACUCCUCAAAAAGAUCUGCUAAAGAUUUUGCAUGAGCCGCAGUGAGUGCUCACCAUCCAACACUUCAGAGGAAUAUGGGAUAACUUUUGGUCCGCAGAUGUCAAUACCUAUUCGCUCCCUGCCACUUCGCUGUGAGAUCAUGGAAAAAUGAGAGUCAGUCUUCAAUCAUCACUUAGAUCAGACGAAAGGAACCCCAGCUCUCCUGAAUUUUAAUAACUUCUACCCUCGAGGCUUACUCUGUGCCAGGCAUGUCCCUGAGGGCUUUACAUGUAUACAUGUAUUUAUUUCUCACAACAACCCUAGGUGGUGGGUACUAUUGUUUUCUCAUUUUACAGAUAAGAAAACUGAAGAAUGAGGGGUUAAAUAACUUGCCCCAGAUCACAGAGCUGGUAAAGAGCAUCACUAGAAUUCAGUGAGAGUGUGUGGUUCUCGUGCCCAGGUUCUGAACCCAUAUACAGUACUGCCUCUUGUUUAUUGUUGUAAGGACCAAAGCCAGUAUUACAUGAAGAAUUGCUGUAAUGCAUUUUAUUUUGAAAAAUGGUAUGAGAAAUUUUGAGAGUAUUUUAAGAAAAGAAAGAGCUCACCAAGUGUGGCUAUACUAAGCUCCUACUCCGUCAGCCCCAUGUGGUCACUAGCUGAGAAUUCCAGGUUUCCCCCUUGCCAUUAGCAAAGAGAGCCCGUGCCAACCACACAUGCCUCAUUCGGCCCAUUGCCUCCUGAGAACUGGUUGUGGCUGUUUUCAGUGGCGACAUAUUUCUCUGUUCUCUGUAAUGAGCCAGGAGAACUGAUUCAGGGAAAGAGUUCCAAGCUCUUUGUGCAAUGGUGUUUAAAAUGCAAGAUCCCUGUCUGGGAAAGAAAUGACUUGUAGAGCCUUAAUGCAAACCCCUGUUCUGCUCUCUAAGCAGCUGUGAGGCUGGCAGACCCCGUAGGCAGAGAAGUGACUUGCAUGGGCCAUGAUGAUACAUAUUCAGUAGUGAGAAAGACUUGAUUCUACACCUUGCUGGUUACAGCUGCCAGAUUGUGAGCGAUCGAUAGAGAACUUUGUUAAUGAUGUGGAAUUCACUUCUGGCAUGCUCUGCACAAAUACAUAUGCAAUAUAUUAUUAGUGCCCUCAACUAUGGGUCUGUCCAGAUGUGAUUUAAUUCGAAGUCUUUCCUCUCCUUACCUUUAUAAUUGGAACGUUGUUGAUCAGAUUCUACUUUUAAUAAAAAUGGCAAACCAUGCA